rnacentral:rRNA from 1 species
GGAUUAGAUACCCUGGUAGUCCACGCCGUAAACGAUGAGUGCUAGAUAUCGGGGCAAUUAGGCUUCGGUUUCGCAGCUAACGCAUUAAGCACUCCGCCUGGGGAGUACGGUCGCAAGAUUAAAACUCAAAGGAAUUGACGGGGGCCCGCACAAGCGGUGGAGCAUGCGGUUUAAUUCGAUGCUACGCGAAAAACCUUACCAACCCUUGACAUGGUGGUCGCGGAUUACAGAGAUGUUUUCCUUCAGCUCGGCUGGACCACACACAGGUGUUGCAUGGCUGUCGUCAGCUCGUGCCG